rnacentral:lncRNA from 1 species
GUUCACCUGUCGGCGGCGGUCACCGGAGUCCUUCGUCUCAAUUCACCGCCGCGCCUGCGUACCGCUCGACGCGCUCGUCGAUCCAUGCCCUCAUGUCCGCCAGGACCCGGCUGCUGUUCUCCUCCGGCUCCCCCUGGAUCAGCGAGUGGUACAUCCCCUCGUACAUGAUCAGCUUCUUGUCCGCGCUCGAUGCCAUCUCGUAGAACGUCUUCGACCCCUCCGGCGAGGUGACCCCGUCUUCGGUGCCGUGCACCGUCAGGAAGGGCGCCGUGACCCCGCGGAAUUGGGUCUUGAAGUAGUCGCAGAGGCGGGCGAGCUCCCUCAUGGUGCCCACCCGGGGGCGCCCCGUGUAGCGCCGCGGGUUGGAGGCGAUGACCCGGAGUCGGUCCGGGUCCUUGAUGGCCUUGCCCACCAUCUUGUUGUCCGGCAUGGCCGCCCAGGUGUCGGCCAGCCCGAAGAGGAGGCCGUAGAGGAAGAGGUGGAGGCGGGACGGUUUCAUGUCGUCCGGGAUGACGAAGAGCGGGGCGGAGAAGAUGAGUCCCGUCCAGGUGCCCGGGUCGGAGCGGAGGUACAUCAGGAGGGUGGCGGCGCCGCCCAUGGACUCGCCGAAGAGGAAGGCCGGCAGGCCGGGCGACUCCCGGCGCACCGAGACGAAGAAGGACAAGGAUGCGCCCGCGACGGCCUCCAUGUCGCCGAGGUAGCAGCGGAUGCCGUCGGAUCGGCCGUGGCCAAGGAGGUCGGCGCAGUAAACGGCGUAGCCCCAGUUGGCGUAGGCGAUGGCGAUCUUCUGGAAGAGCCAGGCAGUGUCCGAGCCGUAGCCGUGACUCAUGAAGACGAGAGCCUUGA